AAACUCUACCCCAUAUAGGAGUGCAUAAGGCGUGUACUAGGAGCGGAAGAUCUUUGCUUGUUGCUGUGUUCGUGGUUCAUCAUUGAGCUUGGAUUUAAUGGCUUCACAAGAAUAUAGAUUUGGGGUACGAGCAGAGCAUCCUUGUCAGUUGUCCCACAACCGAGGGGAUGUAAAAGAAUACGUAGAUAGAUAGAGAGUGCUAGUUGAAUAAUAUUGACGAAGUGUCUAGCAUGUUUAUAAGAGCUCCAUAAAUGAAAAACAAAAAGCUGAGAGCGCAACGGAUUUGCAAAAGGAGAAUGAAGAUGUUAUUGCACAAUUGAAGGUCUUUUGGCUGCAAGUUAGGGGUAGACAAAUAGCACAGGGUAGACUUUUUUUUUGUUAGCACCUCAGUGUUUACAGGUGUUGAAUUGCUAUUACGUUGAGAUGAGAGACCGAGUGUGUCCGACUGGUACUUUUUAGUUUUGUGGAUGUUCAUGUUAGGUUCUGAGAUGUCAUUUGGUGUAUAUUUUCGACCUAUGUGAUUGAAUUCUUUAUUAAUAAAAAUGUGAUUUACUGAA